UGUCCACUUACCUUUCUGGACUUUGUCGAGGGAGGUUAAUAAGGAACCAAAACCUAGCACAGCACCACAUUGUAAGUAAGAAACGGACACACCAGAGCAGUUUGCACUUCAUUUAUAAAACAUCAGUGUUCUUUUACAUCAGUCACCUGCAGUAAAACAUGCAAAAUAUGCAUACAGGUACUAUGGAGGUUGAAUACAAUGUCUACAGAAGCCUGUCAUUAUUUAGACAAUGCUAAAUGGAUUCUUAUAGAACAAGAACAAAGGAAGAUAACAUAAAGAUGAUUAGAUUAAAUAUAAGCUUUCAUUUUGCUUAUAUUACUGUGGAGAUUAUGGUAUUAUGGAAUAUUUGACUUCAGAAUGAUCCUGGAGUCCUGUUUCCUCCCUCGGCUCAGACUCGGUGAGCAGGAAGAAACAGGAGAAGCGAAGGUCAGGGAUGCCAGGCACGCGUGUUUUUCCAGUCGCUCUGCUGCUUCUUCAAAACGGGGAGUUGAACCUGUAACUGUGGAGCUGCCGGCAGAAACACCUGACAUGUGCCACGGGAAAAGCCUGCCCUUCAGCGCGCCGAGCGGGUUUUCUGUUCAGACCCCGAAAUAAGAGCACUGAUACUGAAGGUCUGCAGAAUGGCGAUCUUGGCAGAUGGCAAUAAAUUUAACAGCCCCAUGGAAUGACUUUGAAUGUUCCAUCGCUGGCAUGUGACGUGAAAGCGAAUGGUUUUCUGCAGACAUCAGCAUGCCGUGUCAUCACCGUGGUGACGAGGGUGUUCUAAUGAAGCAGUACGCUAAGCCGGGAUCUUCUGUAAACAGCCUGGCCCUAAGGAUCCAUGGUGUUUUCCAGGCAUGCUAGUGCUGGAUCACUGUACAAUGUGUUCCUUGUUACGCCUGCUGUGGACACCAUCCAGGGAUGUGAGUAUGCUGUGCUGGACGAUUUCUUCUGCUAACGACGCAAAGACGUUUGCAUCCUGUUGCCGGAGGGCAGCUGCUGUAAAUCGGUAGCAUUUGAAAACCAAGCGCAUGCGGACCUGCUUCUGUCCCAGUCUUUGCUCUCAUUUCAUUUCUCCUUCCCACAGCAUCCAUGCGGUAGGUGCUGUAAGCAGCUUUUGGUCGUGGAACUGUCAUAACCUUAAGGCUCUAAUUAGCAUAAAAUCUGUUUAUUAACAUAAAUCUGAAGCCAUGAGCUAAAGUUCAACAAUUACUGCAAAAAUAUCUAUCCAUCCAGUGGCUGAAUAAUACAUUGGCCAUCCAAGGGUACAGGCUAGGGUCCCAGCAAAAUCGUGUCCCACCAAGCAAAAUCAGGGCCCCCACCCUAUCUCUGGUAAAAUGGGAAUAUAAUCCCAUAUCUGGUUGAAUAUAAUCCCAUAUCUGGUUGAAUAUAAUCCCUGAUUGAUUCUUCAGUACAGAAUUAUUGAUGACGUAUUGUUUUUAAUUCUCUUUCGUUUCAGUUUCACAUCCAAAAAAUAGCUCAAGUGGCCUGUUUGGGGGGCCUCCAGAGGAGAUAAUCCGCCCCUGCAUCCACCCCCAGUCAUUCUUCUAACUGCUUAUCCAGGUUUGGGUCACAGGCUGGCCUAGACCCUGCAGAAAUAUAUAAGAAUAAGUGAAUAAAAAAACGAAAUGCAUCCUUACUGAUGAUACCCAUUGUUAAAAUUAUCCUUAUACUAGAUACGAGGGUUGGGGCCAUUCUGGAAUGCAUUCGUCAAAUCCAGUACAAAUCAGGAAAUGGAACUGGAGCUGGGAUUGAAAUCUCCCUGAAGAUCGAAUUCAAUUCAAAUUCUGUUCCCCAUAGUUUUUUUUUUUUUUUUUGCAAUCCCAACUCCAGUUCCACUUCCUGAUUUGCACCGGAGUUAAUGAAUGCGACCCUGCUAAAUAUUACAUAGCAUGAAAGAUUGAAUUACAGUAGCUGAAAGAUUGAAUUAGCCCUUAAAAUUGUCAUUAUUUUGACAAAAUCGGCCCUGUAUUAUAUAGAUACUUACUUACAUCCAAGGAUGCUAUUCUUGUGAAUAAUGUGGUUUUCCUGUUACUACCGGUUUCACAGGUAGAUACCGGUCUCCUUCAGGUUCUGCACAAACUAACUGCAUGAGGCUGCGUUUGUCCAAGCAGACAGAUUAAACUGAACCUGGCAGUAACCCCUCUGCCUGAUUCCUGGAAUGCACUCUAGGAGGUUCAUUGUUGACCUAAACGCUUACUCCUUUCCAGUACAACGAGCAAUCCAGGGAUCAUCACUGAGCUUCCUGAUUCUGGCAUGCCUCAGUGGUGCAGAGGAAGAAGACCGCUUUGUCUGUAGUGCACAGGACUUUGCUGUUUUGUGUAAAGAUCCUACCUGUGCAAGGGCCUGUCCAAGGGGGAAGGACUCACUUGAGGAACCUCGGCAGUGAGUGUAUUCACAAAAAGGUGAUGUCUGUGAUAAAACUCACAGUGUGUGCGGUCAGGUACACAGUGCUACUACACUAUGUUGAAACAUACACAAUACAGGGGAUGGAUAUAUGAGAACAAGAACCCAGCUAUCCUUUUAAAAUCAGGUUCUCUAAAUCUCAUCAAGUUCCUCAAGUCUUAAUCAGGGCUGCAAAUUCAUGUAUCUUCCACUCUUCCUCUCUACUUCACUGGCCCAGAUUUAUAGGAACGAAGAAAACGCCCAGAUUAUUCCAAACACACCAACAAUCCCAUUUGUAUGUUGAAAUACACUUUUUUUUAUUAUGAUCACACAGUGCACAUCUUCAAUUAAACCCACAUGCCAGGGGUUCAGAACUGGCCUCAGGACCCACAUUAUUCCUGGAGCAAUAGUUGCAGCCCACUGAAAAUCGAACUAUCAGUUAAGAAACACUUCCUUAUAUGAUGCUCCUUGUUUAGGGAUAAUAGACUACACUACCCAGCAGGCCUGUUUGUACCAAGAACAAUUUCCUGUAAGCUACCAUGAGCUGUUUGCACACAACUUUGUAUUUAUUGGUUUUGUUUGUGUCUAUGACGUCUUUAUUUGCCCGAUGCAGCAUGCUUGCUCCUUUGUAUGAAACAGGCCACUGUGUCAUAGUAUGAUUAGCAGCACUAAGCAGAUCCAAAGUGUUUAUUUCUAGAUUUUUCCCAGGUUAAGUCAUCUCUGAAAUGACUGACUCCAGUUUUUAACAGAAACUUUGAAAGAUGAGGUUACUUAGUUCUGAAAUAAUAUCCGUCUGGCUCCUGAACUAUUUAGAGGUUUAAUACUCAAUGGUGCAAACAGUCACUAUUUGUUUUGUCGGGUAUCUAAUUUAACUCGGAGCAUUCUAACUUGUAAUCUUACCUCCUAAAUGACUGACAGUGGAAGUGAGUAUCUGUUAAUGAUUCAUGAAGGAGACAGGUAUUUACCUGAGAAACCGGUAGUUAUUUACUGUGAUGUACAAGAAAUGCUGUAGUGAUUAGAGAUCUUUAAAUUCUAGAUGAAAGAGUUGACAUGCCAUCUUUAUGAGCUGUAGAGUGUUGUAGCUCUUCAGUAGUAAAUGCUGUGUGAAAUGAAGACUGGCGCUGGCGUCAGUAUGCCCCUCAAUAUCACACAGAGGUCUUGGUGGAAAUGGAGAUACAAAGAUUGAAAUGCAAGAAGCAUCCAACCAUUGGCAUGAGUUUGGGGAGAAAUAGUAAUUUAAAGACCAAAAAUCUAAAAAUAGUCUGACCAUUAGUAAUCAAUCCAUCAAUUUUCCCAGAACCACUUAUCUAAACCAAGGUCAGAACAAUUCUGGGCCCUCUCUCAAGAACCCGAGAGCACAUGGCAGGGAACACACACAAAGGACAAUUCAGAGACAUCUUUUUUUACCUAAACUGGACUGUGGAGUGAAACCAGUGGGACCAGUGGAAAAACGUUGAAUCUUCUGAGGCAGCAUCAGAACCCCUAAUGCUGGAAGACUGGGAUCACAACUGCUACCCAGUGAGGCAUCACACUGUCCUCGCUGUUCUGAAGAAGCAUAAAGGCUACAAAAUGGAAUGCAAACGUAGGAAGAUCCCUGCACCGAAAAGCAAAUAGAGUUACAUGCUAUUGUCAGACAUGUUGUUCUCAACAAAUUAACUUAUAGUUUCUUCUACAGGAAACCAGUUGUUAUGGCGUAUAAACCAUUAAGACAUUAGGCGUAUUUCCAUGCCACAUGGCGUUCUUCUGACCUGUAAGAGGGCACUUAUUGACUCUGUGUUGGUCCUGCCAGCUCAGUUGAUGUUGGAGAUAAGAGAUUGUUGCCACGGCGCCUAGCUGUGGAGAGGGAGGAGCAUGCAUUUGGGAGUGAAGCCAUUUAACCAAUCAGAAUGCUGAUCUCUCACUGUGGACAUUUCAUUGAUAAAACAUGACUUUUAACAUUAACAAUAACAUAUAAAUGAUGAACAAUAUGCACAGGCAUUUCUCUGUAAAUUGUCAUCUAUGGAAAUCUUUCUUAGCUCCUACCAGUGACCACCGAUAUCAAUUAAAACUGCACAGUUAAGAAAGGAGUUUUAUAUGCCAGGGCACUUAUGCCCAGACAGGUUAUAAAAAGCUUUGCCAAGUAAUUCUGAAAUAUACAAAUAGAACUAUUCAAAAAUGAAGCUGGUUCGUACACAGCCCUGAUUAUGAGAGCAGGAGAGAAUCUGGGUAACAACGUCACAUUUAAUACCCUGGGACUCAGAUAAAAUGUCUGUAACUUGUUAUUAGCCAUAAUUUCACAUUGAAGUUGUUUUUUUCUCUUUAAUUUUAGGAACUAAUGCAAGAACCUGCUAUGCAGCACAGCCAUUCUAACUUAAACAAAGGAGAUGCAUCAGACUGGAGGUAAAUAAGCUUUUCACCAUUGUCUAACACAUUACUACAGUACAGUACUGGAUUUGAUCAACUCAGAACUGACCAUGAUACACAAUUGCAAUCUGUGCAGAUGUUAAUUCUUGGUCCAAAUUAAGUGUUUUUAACCAGUUGCUUAGUGUCAUCAUUUUGAAUGCCUUUUUCUCAGAUAACAUUUAUGUAUUUUGCUGGCAGAAAACAGGUAAGCUUGUUGUUUCCUCUCCUUCCAGUGACAAACUGUAGGUGGAAUAUUACGUGAAAAGGGAAAAGCUGAAAAGGUGAAUGUGUUAAUUUUGACGCGUCGGCUAGUUCCAGAAUAUAAAUGCAAAACAACAUCAUCUUCUGAUGAAAGUUAGGAAUGUACAUUCCACAGAAAGUAAAUUUCACACCAGAGUAAUGAUGUAGCCAAAACCACGUAAACUGAGACCAAGGCUUUACCAAGACCAGAGUGCAUCGAGACCAAGACAAAACCAAGACCAAGGCCCAAGGCAGGGCUAGACCAAGUCAAGAUCAGAAACAUAUUAAAGUUUACAUAACACAACCCACUAUAAAAUGUGGAGCAUAAGCACCAUCUUGGGGCUAGGCAGUAUGGCCUAAAAUUUGUAUCACAAUAUAAUUUGAACCAUGGACAUUUUCUUAUUUCAAUAUAAAUGCUUCUUGACAGGUAAAGUACAGAUAUGGCUACUGUAUGAUGCAAGGGCAUAGGAUUGGUCUCAGUGUGAAAACCAACAGCAAGCACACACAUCGGUUGAUAAACUCUGGCUACUGGCCAGCAGAAACAGUCAGAGAAAAAGGAUGGAGUCUGCACACCAGAUGAUGCUCUCAAAUCGUUUAAUAUUUUGCUACCUUAUGUGACGUUUCAGGCCCAAGCUAUUUAUCAGACAUUUAGGACUGGGCCUUAAAUGUCACAGAAUGUAGCAAAGUAAAAAAUCAGGAGCAUCAUCUGGUGUGCAGAGUCCAUCCUAUUUCACUAUAGCUUUGGUCUAAACCUUCUUGUCCUCAUUCCUGUAACAGCACCCACACAACAACUUAUAUUGUUUAUACCAUAUUUAUAUUAAACUUAUUUAUUCAACAUUCGUUCUCAUUUUUUAACAUCACUUAACACAUUAUUGUGAGCAGUUUUGCCAGAAUGGUCUUGACUGGUCUUGAAAUAAAAUCCUGAGUCCUCCAUGUCUAAGACUGAAUCAAAAUAAAGUCAAUUUUGAGAUGAGACCAAGACCGCAAAAAAAGUGGUCUUGAAACCGGUCUUGAGUAAUACAGUACAACACUACGCCAGAGUACAGUAGUUUAUCUUUCGAAGUAUCAUUGGCACCAAAAAUGAAUAAAGUGGCAGUUUACUUUUGUAAUACAGGCCCCAGGUAAGCGCAGUGAAUAAGGAAGUGCAGCUGUCAGAUUUAAUGUACCUUCACCUUUGAAUUAUGGUGGGAAUGCACGUCCACGGAUGCGAAAAAGUCUGUCAGAGCACAAUUCUUUUCUGCCACCGAGCUGUACUUUGAGGCGGGGGGGUUGCUAAGCCCCAACGUCACUUUGUCCUUUGCUCUUUCUUGCACGGAACAAUCCAGUAUCAGCUAAAAUGAUAACUUUUUUUAGCGGCAAAUGUCCCUGUGUUAGGUUUUCCGUAAACCUCCGGUGUUCCCUUUCCUUAAAAAUUAAUGUCCUCACUUUGAGUCCUUGUAUGAAAUGCUGAGUAAAGGCUGCUUCAUGAUCUCGGGCAGCCGGAGUGUGGCACAUUUGGCAGUGAUUUAUGAAUAGUGCUGUGUGAGUGGUUACCAGUGGGGCGGUGCUCCAGUACACGGCCAGUGGGGCAAUGACACAGUGUCAGCGGAUGGAACAGCUCACUGUAAUUUACACAUAUUUCCUCUUUCUUUAGUUACGGACCCUGAAAGUGUCUCCAAAUGAGGGGGAAAUGCGAUAUUUACAUUUGGGGACCAGAUUCCCCCAUAAUGUGAUACAACCCGGUAACAUUUUUUUUGGUCCCCACAAAAAUGGAAAAGCCAGUUUUAUAAAAGUCUGUGAAUGCAAUCAAAAAACUAAAAGUGCCUAAAGUCCUAUAUUUUGUUUGGUUACUUAUGGUUAAGGUUAUGACUGGGUAGGGGUUAAGGUCGUCAUGUUGGGAUUAGAGUUUUCCCCCGUAGAAAUGAAUGGAGAGUCCCCACAAAGACAUAAUUACAAAUCUAUUUGUGUGUGUGUGUGUGUGUGAAUUUGUGUUUCUUUGUGUUUCUGUGUGUGUGUGUGUUUGUUGGUGUUUGUGUGUGUGUGUCUGUCUGUGUGUUUGUUCGUUUGUGUUUGUAUGUGUGUGUGUGUGUGUGUGUGUGUGUGUGUGAGAGAGAGAGACAGAGAGAGAGAGAGAGAGAAAAUUUAAGUGACCAGUGUUGGCCAAGGGGUGGGUGUGGGUAGUGUGUCAUAUGAACGCCCUUCGCUUGUCCCUGUGUAGUUCUAUGAGCGCCCAAAUAUAGAAGUGUUUUAGUGGUGCUACUUGAUGCCUUCUUUUUCAGAAUAGAGGUCCACAGAAAGCAGCUCUUUUACUAUCUCAUUCUCUCCUCCGUUCUCUUUAGGUAUCUCUCUCUCCCUCCCUACAACCCCUCCCCACUUCUCUGUCCCAUUUUUACAAGAGCUGCCUGCUGCCUUUUGAUGCAAUAUUUGCGACGCUCUAAUUAAUAGCAUAGAAAACAGCAUAUAUAACUAUAAAUGUGUUAUUCCUGAUUGCGUGGAUGCCAGGAACGCCUCACUUUGUAUUUAUCAGCUAUUAAUAUGCGCAGCGUUUUGGAGUGUGAACAGGCGGCGGUCCGCUGAAAUCGUGUGGAAAUGCUUGCCCUGGUUCCCGGGUCCUCGUUCCACACUACCUGUAAAUUGUCCCCUCAGUCUCGUACGUCUCCGCUGCCAGUGGCCCGGGCUGCGGCCCUCCCUGGCUCAUGCACACAGAGAAUUCUCUCUUCUCCUCUGGCUCCCUGCAGCCCAGUGAGCAUUGUUCUGUGGGCUGGCUUCAUGCACCUGGCAUGGCUAAAUAAAGGUCUUUAUUCUGCCGUCGGCAGUGCAGGGCCUCUGUUGUGUGUUGUUCUAAAUGUAUUCGAGGGAACGGGCCUUGAUGCCUCAGCCUGAUAUGCAGGACAGGCUCCCCGGCUCUCAGAGACUCUGCUCUUGUUCCUCUGUGACGGGGCCGACAUUCAAUAAAUACGGCGCAGGGUGCAAUGAAUACAUCCAACCACAAGGUGCUCGAAUUUCAUGCUUACCUUUUGAAUCUUGUUAGUGGAAGCCAUAUUCAGCCUCUUCUUUCUACGGCAUUUCCUUUAAAAGUUGUAUAAUAUGAGAUAUCUUUUGCAGAAUACGGUAUUUUUAUGGUACUGUUGAUGCAAGAGUAUAGCGUAUUCAUUUUCGAGAUUUUUCCCAUGUAAAUAACCCUUGAUCAUAAAGUAUGGCACAUGCUGCAAAUGCAGUGAGGACUCCAUACGUCCAUCGCUGUACAUCAUCUGUCCUAUUCUCUUCACAUAUCUGUGUAUGACUUUACAAAGGCUGUUAAUCCCACCCCCCGUUAAUAUUGAGAUAUGAAAUUGUGCUGAAUUAUUUCCACAUUACUUAGUAGUCCUGAUGUAAUUGACUUUAAAUUGUUUCUCAUUCCAUACCUCAGCUGCCGCUACUUUCUGUUCCCUAUAACUCUUUAGACCUCAGUUGCUUGUAUAUUUUCGCACCAAUUUAAUAGAUUUUCCAAGCUAAUGCUUAUUCUUCCAAUACACUUUCAUUUCAGCUCACACUGCUGGCAUCCCCUCCACAUCUGCCCUGAAGAGAAGGCAGCAUAUAUGUUUUUCUGACACGACUGUGUCGAUUUGAUUUUCUCUAUACAGUGCAGCCCACCACGCGGAGUAGGGCUGCUUCUCUGACAGCUCGCAGCUGUCGGAAAAUACCAGGCACCCGACAGGAGAUAUACUGGUUUGCUUAAAGUCUCCUUAAAUCCUCAACUUAAAAAAUAUGCUGUGGAUUUAAAAUUCUCUCCUGUAGCUCUGCAGCCCCCCAGAACAACAAUUAUGAUUGUUUUAUUAUAGCACGACUUUCAAAGUCAGUAGGUUGAUAUUAGACUCGUACCCAGGAAGAGCUGAAAUCAGUAUAGCACAAGUGUCUGGUUCAGAUUUAGGCUCCCCGUAGCUCUCCCCUCCAGAAAGAGGCAUCGCUUCACAUCCCUGGAGGGCUGUAGCCAAGCCAAGUCGGGUGAAGGUAUCAGACAGGCAUGAGCCCUUCCACUUGCUCGUCACGUGACUGUGAUACAGUUCUCACAUUUGGUUGUGUGUGUAUAUAGCGCUGUGCAGAUGUGUGAGGCAGUUAAACAAAAAUUAGGUAUAAAUGAUCUUCUUGUUGGUGUGAAAUUAUAAUUUUAUGCCCGUAAAGUGUGUCAGCUCGGCCGUUUCAAACCCUCAUCCCAGGAUCUGCAGCAACCGUCUAAUAUGUUCAUGUAAUUUUUGACACUAGCACACUUUGUUUGGCAAAUCAAUACCUCGUCGAUUAAUGAAAUUAAUAAUUUAACUGAGCUAGUAGUGAAAUUUAACAAAUAUAUGGCAUGGCUGAGGUGCACCUGAGGAGAGGUUUGGGAACUCAAGCUGUGUUCAUCUAGUCAAACAACAUAUCUGUGACUUAUUGUAAAGCAAAGGAAAUUCUUGUUAGUUUUGUUGUGCUUUCAACAUUUUUUUCGGCUGCCUACGACUUUUGCACAGCAGUGUGUAUCAGUGGACACGGGGUUUUCUGUGUUUUCUGCUACCCCGUAUCACGGCUACAGCCUAAGCAGCAUAUUUUUGGGCUUGGCAAAGUUUAUCUUUGUGAUGAAGAAGCUAGAACAUGCUGCUUAGUUUUCAUAGCUUAAUGUUAGGCUAAUAUCUAAUGGUUGUUACUGCUAAUCAAACCUUUGUUUAAAAAGGCUUAAUGAGCGACACGUGCGUAUAAAUCCGCCUGGCAUGAGACGACGAGCAGCUGUCGCCACAGCGACAGACAGCGCUAACAAAACACUGAUUAGAUUAUUGAUUGUUUGGUGCCAAAGCUGCAGAUUGUUAGCAGUAUAGAAAGUGAAUGUGUAACAGAGGGGCAAAGCUAGUUAUGGCAGCUACUCUAGUUAUAAAAUUUCAUUCUAAGAAUUUUUCACAAGGCAAGAAAAUGUGUUAUUGCUGAUAUGGGUUAUUAUUGAGACCUGAUGUAACAUUAAAAAUAUCUUGUCCAUUUUC